rnacentral:tRNA from 1 species
UAGCUCAGCUGGAUAGAGCGGCUGCCUUCUAAGCAGCGGGUCGCAGGUUCAAGUCCUGC